CCCUUAGAUGUUCUGGGCUGCACGCGCGCUACACUGACGCACGCAACAGGUGCCUGCUCCGAGAGGACUGGGUAAUCAUUUGAGUGUGCGUCGUGAUGGGGAUAGAAUAUUGUAAUUAUUACUCUUCAACGAGGAAUUCCUAGUAAGCGCCAGUCAGCAGCUUGCGCUGAUUACGUCCCUGCCCUUUGUACACACCGCCCGUCGCUCCUACCGAUGGGUGGUCCGGUGAAUGAUUCGGACUUCAGCGGCUCCCCUGGGGUGCGCCGGAGAAAGUUUUGUGAACCUUAUCACUUGGAGGAAGGAGAAGUCGUAACA
rnacentral:rRNA from 1 species